rnacentral:snRNA from 1 species
AUCUUUAACAACGGAAAAGAUCU